AAAAAUGUUAGAAACAGACUAACCUAUUUGAGCCGAACCUCUAGCCCACACACUUCAUCAAACUACUAACCAAAAUAAACAAACCAUUUGACACGACCAGUAAAGGCGAUUGAACAUCACACAUGGAGCAAAAGAUACAGUACCGCAAGGGAAACAUGAAAAAACAAUGAAAACUUAAAGCCAAACAAAGCAAGGACUAACCCCUGUACCUAUUGCAUCAUGGUCUAACAAGAACUACACAGACACGGCGCCCCAGCCUGUGCCCCCGAAAUCAAGUGAGCUACCUUAGAGCAACCUAUUGGGUUAACCCGUCCCUGUAGCAAAAGGGUGGGAAGACUCUAAGGUAGUGGUGAAAAGCCUAACGAACUUGUUGAUAGCUGGUUGCCUGACAAAUGAACCUAAGUUCAGCCUUAAAUUUAUUAAACAUAUUAUAGUAAAAAUUUAAUUUAAGACCUAAUCAAUGGGGGUACAGCCCCAUUGAACCGGGAUACCGCCCGAAGUAAAGAGCUAGUAUUAUACCACACACCAGUAGGCCUUAAAGCAGCCACCAUUAAAUUGCGUCACAGCAAACACCAAAAAAUUCCACACCUACAAACAACCUCUUACACCCACCUCAGCGCUAAUCUAUAAAAAUAUAGAAGAACUAAUGCUAGAACUAGUAACAAGAACCUAUCUCUACGCGCAACUGUAAACCAGUCACAGAAAAACUACUGAAAAUUAACAGCUAAAUAAAUAUGUUAACAAAUAUUAUAUUACCACUGUUAAACCGACACAGGAGUGCCAAAAAGAAAGAUCAACAGUUAAAGAAGGAACUCGGCAAACCAAUAUCCCAACUGUUUACCAAAAACAUAGCCUUUAGCUAUACAAGUAUUAAAGGUGACGCCUGCCCAGUGAACUAUUUUAACGGCCGCGGUAUCCUAACCGUGCAAAGGUAGCGUAAUCACUUGUCCCUUAAAUAGAGACUAGUAUGAACGGCUAAAUGAGGAUAGAUCUGUCUCCUUUAACAAAUCAGUGAAACUGAUCCACCAGUACAAAAGCUGGAAUAAUAUCAUAAGACGAGAAGACCCUGUGGAGCUUUAAAUUUAACCCAAACAAUAAGACAAAAAUUGGUACAUGGCUAAAAAUUUUAAGUUGGGGCGACUUCGGAAAAAAACUAAACUUCCGAGCAUAAGACUAUGUCAUACCAAGACCUACGAGUCUAAGCCAAAAUUGACCCAGUAAUACUGAUAAACGAACCAAGUUACCCCAGGGAUAACAGCGCAAUCUUCUUCAAGAGUUCCUAUCGACAAGAAGUUUACGACCUCGAUGUUGGAUCAGGACACCCAAAUGGUGUAGCCGCUAUUAAACAAUCCAGGUCGGUUUCUAUCUAUGUAGUUGUUUUCUUCAGUACGAAAGGACCAAGAAAACAGGACCAAUACUAACAGCACGUCCUAAACACAAGGCUGAACACAACUAAAGCCGGACAACACGCAACUGCCGCCCGAAGACAACGGGCUUA
rnacentral:rRNA from 1 species